rnacentral:rRNA from 1 species
ACUCCUACGGGAGGCAGCAGUGGGGAAUUUUGGACAAUGGGGGCAACCCUGAUCCAGCCAUGCCGCGUGCGGGAAGAAGGCCUUCGGGUUGUAAACCGCUUUUAUUUGGGAAGAAGGAGUAGGGGUUAAUACCCUCUAUGACGGACGGUACUGGAUGAAUAAGCACCGGCUAACUACGUGCCAGCAGCCGCGGUAAUACGUAGGGUGCGAGCGUUAAUCGGAAUUACUGGGCGUAAAGCGUGCGUAGGCGGUUCGAGAAGUCAGCUGUGAAAGCCCCGGGCUUAACCUGGGAAUGGCGGUUGAAACUCUCGGACUAGAAUCUGGCAGAGGGGGGUGGAAUUCCACGUGUAGCAGUGAAAUGCGUAGAGAUGUGGAGGAACACCGAUGGCGAAGGCAGCCCCCUGGGCUGAGAUUGACGCUCAGGCACGAAAGCGUGGGGAGCAAACAGGAUUAGAUACCCUGGUAGUCCACGCCCUAAACGAUGUCAACUAGGUGUCGGGAGCGCAAGUUCUUGGUACCGCAGCUAACGCGUGAAGUUGACCGCCUGGGGAGUACGGUCGCAAGAUUAAAACUCAAAUGAAUUGACGG